CAAUAGCGUAUAUUAAAGUUGUUGCGGUUAAAAAGCUCGUAGUUGGAUUUCUGUUGAAGACUGUCGGUCUGCUCUAUGAGCAUGUAUCUGAUGUGGCUUCGGCAUCCUCUUGAGGUGUGCUUAUGCGCUUGAUUGCGUGGGGCAGGCCCCAAGACUUUUACUUUGAGGAAAUUAGAGUGUUCACGGCAGGCAAGCGUCAUGAAUAUAUUAGCAUGGAAUAAUAAUAUAGGAUUUAGGUUCUAUUUUAUUGGUUUCUAGGACUUAGAUAAUGAUUAAUAGGGAUAAUUGGGGGCAUUUGUAUUAACUCGUCAGAGGUGGAAUUCUUGGAUUGAGUUACGACAAACUACUGCGAAAGCAUUUGCCAAGGAUGUUUUCAUUGAUCAAGAACGAAAGUAUAGGGAUCGAAGACGAUUAGAUACCAU
rnacentral:rRNA from 1 species